rnacentral:misc_RNA from 1 species
CAUACCCCUUGUGAUUUUUGAGUAUUUUUUUUUUGUUUUAAUGCCAUGGUAUAGUAUAGUAUUGUGUAUUAUCUAAUUAUAUUUUUUUUUACCAUAUAUUCUGAUCCUAUGAAUCUUUCCAAGGAAAACGAUUAUGACAAUUAGUUGCAGGAGUGAAAUAUAGUGAUUAUGUAUUUACCAAAAGAAGGGACAGAUUCCUGGAAGCAUACCUCGUGCAUCAGUUUCUCUUCCACUUUGAUGAAAGUGUUGGGAUGGAAGGAAAGAUGCCUAAUGUUGGAAAAUAAUGGAGAAAGAAAGGUGUCAAAACUCAAAAGACAGACCCUACAUUUUGAUGUACAAAUGGAUAUGUGCUAAAACAAAUAUGUCCAAAUCUCCAUUAUCUAUCAAAUCUUGCAUGGAAUCCUUUAAAUAUUUCCCCACAAUGAUGAAUGGAGGGUUUUUUGGAAUCAUAAAAC